AACGAACGCUGGCGGCAUGCCUAACACAUGCAAGUCGAACGAGACCUUCGGGUCUAGUGGCGCACGGGUGCGUAACGCGUGGGAACCUGCCCUUAGGUUCGGAAUAACUCCCCGAAAGGGGUGCUAAUACCGGAUAAUGUCUUCGGACCAAAGAUUUAUUGCCUUUGGAUGGGCCCGCGUUGGAUUAGCUAGUUGGUAGGGUAAAAGCCUACCAAGGCGACGAUCCAUAGCUGGUCUGAGAGGAUGAUCAGCCACACUGGGACUGAGACACGGCCCAGACUCCUACGGGAGGCAGGAGUGGGGAAUAUUGGACAAUGGGCGAAAGCAUGAUGCAGCAAUGCCGCGUGAGUGAUGAAGGCCUUAGGGUUGUAAAGCUCUUUUAACCGGGAUGAUAAUGACGGUACCGGGAGAAUAAGCUCCGGCUAACUACGUG
rnacentral:rRNA from 1 species